UACAGAGGGUGCAAGCGUUGUUCGGAAUUAUUGGGCGUAAAGGGCGCGUAGGCGGUGCGACGUGUCUCCUGUGAAAUCUCCAGGCUCAACUUGGAGUCUGCAGGAGAAACUGUCGUGCUUGAGUACUGGAGAGGUGAGUGGAAUUCCCCGGUGUAGCGGUGAAAUGCGUAGAUAUCGGGAGGAACACCUGUGGCGAAAGCGGCUCACUGGACAGUAACUGACGCUGAUGCGCGAAAGCUAGGGGAGCAAACAGG
rnacentral:rRNA from 1 species